rnacentral:rRNA from 1 species
ACUCCUACGGGAGGCAGCAGUGGGGAAUAUUGCACAAUGGGGGAAACCCUGAUGCAGCCAUGCAGCGUGUGUGAAGAAGGCCUUCGGGUUGUAAAGCACUUUCAGUAGGGAGGAAGGUAGUGUAGUUAACACCUGCAUUAUUUGACGUUACCUACAGAAGAAGCACCGGCUAACUCCGUGCCAGCAGCCGCGGUAAUACGGAGGGUGCGAGCGUUAAUCGGAAUUACUGGGCGUAAAGCGCAUGCAGGCGGCCUGUUAAGUCAGAUGUGAAAGCCCGGGGCUUAACCUCGGAAUUGCAUUUGAAACUGGCAGGCUAGAGUCUUGGUAGAGGGGGGUAGAAUUUCAGGUGUAGCGGUGAAAUGCGUAGAGAUCUGAAGGAAUACCAGUGGCGAAGGCGGCCCCCUGGACAAAGACUGACGCUCAGAUGCGAAAGCGUGGGGAGCAAACAGGAUUAGAUACCCUGGUAGCACAGAG